ACCUAAUUAGUUUAACAAAAACAUUGAUUUUGUAAAUCAAUAAUGAACUAUUUCACUAGGUU
rnacentral:tRNA from 1 species